UCCGAUAUGGUGUAACGGCUAACAUUGCCGCCUUUCAUAAGCUCAAUGCUCAUUCAACUGGUCACGCGGCAGCUCGGGGUUCGAUUCCCCGUAUCGGAA